GACAGAGGUGCCGAGCGUUAGGCGGAAUCACUGGGCUUAAAGCGUGUGUAGGCGGAUCGUUAAGUACCUUGUGAAAUCCCACGGCUUAACCGUGGAACUGCUUGGUAUACUGGCGAUCUUGAGCCACCUAGGGGCAACCGGAACAAAUGGUGGAGCGGUGAAAUGCGUAGAUAUCAUUUGGAACGCCAACGGUGAAAACAGCUCGCUGGGGGUGUGCUGACGCUGAGACACGAAAGCCAGGGGAGCGAACGGG
rnacentral:rRNA from 1 species